CCCUUAUUUCACGUUUAAUGUGAAUUGAAACAAGUAGGUAGUAGAUGUAACUACAUCGAACUCGACUUUUCGAUGAGUUUGCGUGUCGUUGAAAUUAACAACACGAGUACCUUCUCGUGCACUUGGUUCUGCCAACCAGUCAACCAACCAGCCAGCCAGCAAGCAAAUCAGUGAGCUAGCAAACAAAGACAAAGACAGGAUGCAAAAGGCAUCAUACGCUCGGUUUCACAAAGACGUGAACAUCGUGCAGAGAACAGAGUGACAGAUACGUGUCAGUGUAUAUAUGUGAGAGGGUAUAUAUACAGAGUUGGGAGGAACGCAUAGAAUGUGCCUAUCGUUUGCUUAUUUACCCUUUACGUUGGUACUACAGUGUAUCAGGAAGGACAACAAAAUGCAAGAAACCAAAGCAUGGAAUGGCUGGCUUUGAUAAUUUAAUUUAUAUACACUCUUGGAUCCUUACCUCUACCUUCUUGCAAAACUGUCGACGUGCCGAGUUAAUUGUAUAAAUUAUUACUACGGGAGUUUCGUUGUCGAUAAAGUCUUAAAGUCGUGGAUCGUUGAUAGGUCGAAGAAAGAAAUAAGAAUGGAAGAUGGAAGAAAGAAAU